rnacentral:rRNA from 1 species
AAAAUAAAAAUUAAUUAUUUAUAUUAUAAUAAAAAUAAUUUUAAUAUUAAAAUAAGGGGGGUUUGAGUAUUUUAAUAGAAAAAAUUAAAUGUUUUAUAAUAAAUUAGUAUAGUGAUAGAAAUUUGAAAUAAUUGAAAAUAAAAUUGUUAAAAAGUAAGUUUAAUUUAUUGUAUCUUGUGUAUCAGAGUUUAUUAAAUAAAUUAUAAAGAUACGUAUAUAUAUAUCUCGAAUUUAAAAGAGUUAAUUAAUUAACAAAUUUAAUGUAAAAUAAUUAUUUUGAAUAAUUAAUUAGAAAUGAGAUGUUAAUCGUUUUUAAAUAUAUCUAGUUUUUUUAGAAAAAAAUUUAAUUUUAAAUUUAUUAUUUAUUUUAAUUAAAUAAUUAAUUAAAAUAAAUAAUAAAUUUUAUAGUUUAAGGGAUAAGCUUUAAAUUAAAAAGUUAUAAUAUUAAUAUUUGAAUAUUUAAAAUUUUUAAAAUUUAUAUUGUUUAAAAAUUAAAGUUUUUUAUAAAAAAUUUUAAAAUAAAUAAAAUUUAAGUUAAAUUUAAAUUUUUAUAAAAAUAUAAUUUUUAAUUAAAAAUAAUUAGAAAUAAUGAUAAAAUUAGUAUAAAUAAAUAUAAUUAUAAAUAAAAUAAUUCAUAAAUUAAAUAAAAGGAAUUCAGCAAAAUUAUAUAUUCACCUGUUUAACAAAAACAUGUCUUUUUGAUUUAAUUUAAAGUCUAAUCUGCCCACUGAUUAAAAAUUAAAGGGCUGCAGUAAUUUGACUGUACAAAGGUAGCAUAAUCAAUAGUCUUUUAAUUGGAGACUUGUAUGAAUGAUUUGAUGAAAUAUAAACUGUCUCUAAUUUAUAUUUAAAAUUUAAUUUUUUAGUUAAAAAGCUAAAAUAUUUUUAAAAGACGAGAAGACCCUAUAGAGUUUUAUAUUUUAUAAAUUAAAAUAUUUAUAUAAAAUUUUAAUAUUAUAAUUUUAUAAAUUAUUUUGUUGGGGUGAUAAAAAAAUAGAAUGAACUUUUUUUUUAAAAUAUCAAAAAUAAUUGAAUAAAUGAUCCAAAUUAAAGAUUAAAAGAAAAAAUUACCUUAGGGAUAACAGCGUAAUAUUUUUUUUUAGUACAAAUAAGAAAAAAAGUUUGCGACCUCGAUGUUGGAUUAAGAUAAAAUUUAAAUGCAAAAGUUUAAAAUUUUGAUCUGUUCGAUCAUUAAAAUCUUACAUGAUCUGAGUUCAAACCGGUGUGAGCCAGGUUGGUUUCUAUCUUUAAAAUAAUAAAAUAUUUUAGUACGAAAGGAUUAAAUAUUUAAAAUAAUUUUUUUUUUUUGAAUAUUAUUAAAAGUGUUGAAUAGUUAUAUAUAUAUAUAUA